GACGAACGCUGGCGGCGUGCUUAACACAUGCAAGUCGAACGGAAAGGCCCUGCUUUUGUGGGGUGCUCGAGUGGCGAACGGGUGAGUAACACGUGAGUAACCUGCCCUUGACUUUGGGAUAACUUCAGGAAACUGGGGCUAAUACCGGAUAGGAGCUCCUGCUGCAUGGUGGGGGUUGGAAAGUUUCGGCGGUUGGGGAUGGACUCGCGGCUUAUCAGCUUGUUGGUGGGGUAGUGGCUUACCAAGGCUUUGACGGGUAGCCGGCCUGAGAGGGUGACCGGCGACAUUGGGACUGAGAGACGGCCCAGACGGCUACGGGAGGCAGCAGGGGGGAAUAUGGCAGAAUGGGGGGAAGCCUGAUGCAGCAGCGCCGGGUGCGGGAUGACGGCCUUCGGGGUGUAAACCGCUUUCGCCUGUGACGAAGCGUGAGUGACGGUAAUGGGUAAAGAAGCACCGGCUAACUACGUG
rnacentral:rRNA from 1 species